rnacentral:rRNA from 1 species
UACGUAGGGGGCAAGCGUUGUCCGGAUUUCUUGGGCGUAAAGAGCGUGUAGGCGGCCAGACAGGUCCGUUGUGAAAACUCGAGGCUCAACCUCGAGAUGUCGAUGGAAACCGUCUGGCUAGAGUCCGGAAGAGGAGUGUGGAAUUCCUGGUGUAGCGGUGAAAUGCGCAGAUAUCAGGAGGAACACCGGUGGCGAAGGCGGGUCUCUGGGCAGUAACUGACGCUGAGGAGCGAAAGCGUGGGGAGCGAACAGG